rnacentral:rRNA from 1 species
GUGCCAGCAGCCGCGGUAAUACGUAGGUGGCAAGCGUUGUCCGGACUUAUUGGGCGUAAAGCGAGCGCAGGCGGUUUCUUAAGUCUGAUGUGAAAGCCUUCGGCUCAACCGAAGAAGUGCAUCGGAAACUGGGAAACUUGAGUGCAGAAGAGGACAGUGGAACUCCAUGUGUAGCGGUGAAAUGCGUAGAUAUAUGGAAGAACACCAGUGGCGAAGGCGGCUGUCUGGUCUGUAACUGACGCUGAGGCUCGAAAGCAUGGGUAGCAAACAGGAUUAGAUACCCUGGUAGUCCAUGCCGUAAACGAUGAGUGCUAGGUGUUGGAGGGUUUCCGCCCUUCAGUGCCGCAGCUAACGCAUUAAGCACUCCGCCUGGGGAGUACGACCGCAAGGUUGAAACUCAAAGGAAUUGACGGGGGCCCGCACAAGCGGUGGAGCAUGUGGUUUAAUUCGAAGCAACGCGAAGAACCUUACCAGGUCUUGACAUCCUUUGACCACUCUAGAGAUAGAGCUUUCCCUUCGGGGACAAAGUGACAGGUGGUGCAUGGUUGUCGUCAGCUCGUGUCGUGAGAUGUUGGGUUAAGUCCCGCAACGAGCGCAACCCUUAUUACUAGUUGCCAGCAUUAAGUUGGGCACUCUAGUGAGACUGCCGGUGACAAACCGGAGGAAGGUGGGGACGACGUCAAAUCAUCAUGCCCCUUAUGACCUGGGCUACACACGUGCUACAAUGGAUGGUACAACGAGUUGCGAGACCGCGAGGUUUAGCUAAUCUCUUAAAACCAUUCUCAGUUCGGAUUGUAGGCUGCAACUCGCCUACAUGAAGCCGGAAUCGCUAGUAAUCGCGGAUCAGCAUGCCGCGGUGAAUACGUUCCCGGGCCUUGUACACACCGCCCGU